ACCGGCGAUUUCCGAAUGGGGAAACCCAGUGUGUUUCGACACACUAUCAUUAACUGAAUCCAUAGGUUAAUGAGGCGAACCGGGGGAACUGAAACAUCUAAGUACCCCGAGGAAAAGAAAUCAACCGAGAUUCCCCCAGUAGCGGCGAGCGAACGGGGAGGAGCCCAGAGCCUGAAUCAGUGUGUGUGUUAGUGGAAGCGUCUGGAAAGGCGCGCGAUACAGGGUGACAGCCCCGUACACAAAAAUGCACAUACUGUGAGCUCGAUGAGUAGGGCGGGACACGUGGUAUCCUGUCUGAAUAUGGGGGGACCAUCCUCCAAGGCUAAAUACUCCUGACUGACCGAUAGUGAACCAGUACCGUGAGGGAAAGGCGAAAAGAACCCCGGCGAGGGGAGUGAAAAAGAACCUGAAACCGUGUACGUACAAGCAGUGGGAGCCUCUUAAUGGGGUGACUGCGUACCUUUUGUAUAAUGGGUCAGCGACUUAUAUUCUGUAGCAAGGUUAACCGAAUAGGGGAGCCGAAGGGAAACCGAGUCUUAACUGGGCGUUAAGUUGCAGGGUAUAGACCCGAAACCCGGUGAUCUAGCCAUGGGCAGGUUGAAGGUUGGGUAACACUAACUGGAGGACCGAACCGACUAAUGUUGAAAAAUUAGCGGAUGACUUGUGGCUGGGGGUGAAAGGCCAAUCAAACCGGGAGAUAGCUGGUUCUCCCCGAAAGCUAUUUAGGUAGCGCCUCGUGAAUUCAUCUCCGGGGGUAGAGCACUGUUUCGGCAAGGGGGUCAUCCCGACUUACCAACCCGAUGCAAACUGCGAAUACCGGAGAAUGUUAUCACGGGAGACACACGGCGGGUGCUAACGUCCGUCGUGAAGAGGGAAACAACCCAGACCGCCAGCUAAGGUCCCAAAGUCAUGGUUAAGUGGGAAACGAUGUGGGAAGGCCCAGACAGCCAGGAUGUUGGCUUAGAAGCAGCCAUCAUUUAAAGAAAGCGUAAUAGCUCACUGGUCGAGUCGGCCUGCGCGGAAGAUGUAACGGGGCUAAACCAUGCACCGAAGCUGCGGCAGCGACACUAUGUGUUGUUGGGUAGGGGAGCGUUCUGUAAGCCUGUGAAGGUGUCCUGUGAGGUUUGCUGGAGGUAUCAGAAGUGCGAAUGCUGACAUAAGUAACGAUAAAGCGGGUGAAAAGCCCGCUCGCCGGAAGACCAAGGGUUCCUGUCCAACGUUAAUCGGGGCAGGGUGAGUCGACCCCUAAGGCGAGGCCGAAAGGCGUAGUCGAUGGGAAACAGGUUAAUAUUCCUGUACUUGGUGUUACUGCGAAGGGGGGACGGAGAAGGCUAUGUUGGCCGGGCGACGGUUGUCCCGGUUUAAGCGUGUAGGCUGGUUUUCCAGGCAAAUCCGGAAAAUCAAGGCUGAGGCGUGAUGACGAGGCACUACGGUGCUGAAGCGACAAAUGCCCUGCUUCCAGGAAAAGCCUCUAAGCAUCAGGUAACAUCAAAUCGUACCCCAAACCGACACAGGUGGUCAGGUAGAGAAUACCAAGGCGCUUGAGAGAACUCGGGUGAAGGAACUAGGCAAAAUGGUGCCGUAACUUCGGGAGAAGGCACGCUGAUAUGUAGGUGAAGCGACUUGCUCGUGGAGCUGAAAUCAGUCGAAGAUACCAGCUGGCUGCAACUGUUUAUUAAAAACACAGCACUGUGCAAACACGAAAGUGGACGUAUACGGUGUGACGCCUGCCCGGUGCCGGAAGGUUAAUUGAUGGGGUUAGCGGUAACGCGAAGCUCUUGAUCGAAGCCCCGGUAAACGGCGGCCGUAACUAUAACGGUCCUAAGGUAGCGAAAUUCCUUGUCGGGUAAGUUCCGACCUGCACGAAUGGCGUAAUGAUGGCCAGGCUGUCUCCACCCGAGACUCAGUGAAAUUGAACUCGCUGUGAAGAUGCAGUGUACCCGCGGCAAGACGGAAAGACCCCGUGAACCUUUACUAUAGCUUGACACUGAACAUUGAGCCUUGAUGUGUAGGAUAGGUGGGAGGCUUUGAAGUGUGGACGCCAGUCUGCAUGGAGCCGACCUUGAAAUACCACCCUUUAAUGUUUGAUGUUCUAACGUGGGCCCCUUACCGGGGUUGCGGACAGUGUCUGGUGGGUAGUUUGACUGGGGCGGUCUCCUCCUAAAGAGUAACGGAGGAGCACGAAGGUUGGCUAAUCCUGGUCGGACAUCAGGAGGUUAGUGCAAUGGCAUAAGCCAGCUUGACUGCGAGCGUGACGGCGCGAGCAGGUGCGAAAGCAGGUCAUAGUGAUCCGGUGGUUCUGAAUGGAAGGGCCAUCGCUCAACGGAUAAAAGGUACUCCGGGGAUAACAGGCUGAUACCGCCCAAGAGUUCAUAUCGACGGCGGUGUUUGGCACCUCGAUGUCGGCUCAUCACAUCCUGGGGCUGAAGUAGGUCCCAAGGGUAUGGCUGUUCGCCAUUUAAAGUGGUACGCGAGCUGGGUUUAGAACGUCGUGAGACAGUUCGGUCCCUAUCUGCCGUGGGCGCUGGAGAACUGAGGGGGGCUGCUCCUAGUACGAGAGGACCGGAGUGGACGCAUCACUGGUGUUCGGGUUGUCAUGCCAAUGGCACUGCCCGGUAGCUAAAUGCGGAAGAGAUAAGUGCUGAAAGCAUCUAAGCACGAAACUUGCCCCGAGAUGAGUUCUCCCUGACUCCUUGAGAGUCCUGAAGGAACGUUGAAGACGACGACGUUGAUAGGCCGGGUGUGUAAGCGCAGCGAUGCGUUGAGCUAACCGGUACUAAUGAACCGUGAGGCUUAACCUU
rnacentral:rRNA from 2 species